GCCAAAUAUCUAGCCCUAAUUUCUCCCACAUACUUAUCCUCCUCUGUCUUUCUUAACUAAAACAUUUUUAACGUUUAGUAAAGGCGAUUAAAAAACUGCUAAGAGCUAUAAAUGUAGUACCGCAAGGGAAAAAUGAAAUAAAAAUGAAAUAACUUUUAAGCACAAAAAAGUAAAGCUCAACCCUUGUACCUUUUGCAUCAUGAUUUAACUAGUCUAAUCAAGCAAAAAGACUUUAAGUUUGAACCCCCGAACCUAAGCGAGCUAUCUUAAGACAGCUUAAAUGAGCACACCCGUCUCUGUUGCAAAAGAGUGGGAAAAUCUUAAGAUAGGAGUGACAGACCUAACGAGCUUAGUGAUAGCUGGUUGCUCCAAAAAAGGAUUUUAGUCCUGCUUAAAAUUUCUUAAAUACAUCAAUAUUAUAUUUUAAAGUUAUUCAAAUAAGGUACAGCCUAUUUGAAAAAGGAUACAACCUUAAUUUCUGGGUUACCAUAUUUUAAUAAUGACAAAGUAGGCCUAAAAGCAGCCACCUCAACCAAAAGCGUCAAAGCUUCCUCAUUUAUAAAAAUAAUUCUUAUAUUCCACUCCAACCCUCAUUUUUUAUAUUGAGCAACUCUAUACCUUUAUAGAAAUUAUUAUGUUAAAACUAGUAAUAAGAAGUAGACCCUUCUCUUUAACGCAAGCUUACAUCAGUUUGGACAUCCCCCUGAUAAUCAACGUCUUUAAUCACAAAGAAGAAACGAAACAAGAAAAAUCUUCUAAAACUUGCGUUUACCUAACACCAGAGCGUUACAAGAAAGAUUAAAAGUAAAAGAAGGAACUCGGCAAACAUUAGUCUCGCCUGUUUACCAAAAACAUCGCCUCUUGCUCAACUAAUAAGAGGUCCAGCCUGCCCAGUGACACUGUUCAACGGCCGCGGUAUCCUAACCGUGCGAAGGUAGCGUAAUCACUUGUUCUUUAAUUGAGGACUAGUAUGAAUGGCUUCACGAAGACUACACUGUCUCCUUUUUCUAAUCAAUGAAACUAAUCUCCCCGUGAAGAAGCGGGGAUUCACAUAUAAGACGAGAAGACCCUAUGGAGCUUUAAACAACAGAAACACUUGCUUUUAACUUUAUUAUCUUCAGAGAACUAAAUUAUACUCCGAGCACUUUAAUUUCUAGUUUUAGGUUGGGGUGACCACGGAGUAAAAACUAACCUCCACGCUGAAAGAAUCCUCCAUUCUUAAUUUAAAGUCACAACUUAAAACAUCUAUACAUUGACUUCCAUUGACCCAAUUACUUGAUCAACGAACCAAGUUACCCUAGGGAUAACAGCGCAAUCUACUUCGAGAGCUCUUAUCGACAAGUAGGUUUACGACCUCGAUGUUGGAUCAGGGUAUCCUAGUGGUGCAGCCGCUACUAAUGGUUCGUUUGUUCAACGAUUAAAACCCUACGUGAUCUGAGUUCAGACCGGAGUGAUCCAGGUCAGUUUCUAUCUAUAAAGAGAUUUUUCUAGUACGAAAGGACCGAAAAACCAUGGCCAAUGCUUCUUCAAGCCGUAAUUUUAUAAACUAUGUAUAUAAACUUAAUAAUUAAAAA
rnacentral:rRNA from 1 species